GUUGAACGCUGGCGGCAUGCCUUACACAUGCAAGUCGAACGGAUUCAAGGGGCUUGCUCCUUGAGUUAGUGGCGAACGGGUGAGUAAUGCAUCGGAACGUACCCAGUUGUGGGGGAUAACGUAGCGAAAGUUACGCUAAUACCGCAUACGACCUGAGGGUGAAAGCGGGGGAUCGCAAGACCUCGCGCAACUGGAGCUGCCGAUGUCAGAUUAGCUAGUUGGUAGGGUAAAAGCCUACCAAGGCGACGAUCUGUAGCUGGUCUGAGAGGACGACCAGCCACACUGGGACUGAGACACGGCCCAGACUCCUACGGGAGGCAGCAGUGGGGAAUUUUGGACAAUGGGGGAAACCCUGAUCCAGCCAUGCCGCGUGAGUGAAGAAGGCCUUCGGGUUGUAAAGCUCUUUCGGACAGAAAGAAAUCUUUUGGGCUAAUACCCUGAGAGGAUGACGGUACUGUAAGAAGAAGCACCGGCUAACUACGUGCCAGCCGCCGCCGUAA
rnacentral:rRNA from 1 species